rnacentral:lncRNA from 1 species
GCCAGGUGAGCCGCCGCCGUCUUGACCAGUCGCCGGAGCCGGCUCUCCGGCGUUUUCACUUUCAUUCGGCCGGUGAGUGCUGCCGCCUGCCGGCACGGUGGUCAACUAGUGCUAGGUGCCUGGUCAGUCGUUCGAGUCUCCCCGGGGUGAGGGGGUCGCCGCGCGGAGUGUGGGCAGUGUUUGCGGACGCGGCCGCGAGUCGGGUAUGAGUGUUGACCUCUGAGUGACGUCACGCGAAGUGCUACACAGCGCCGGCCAGUGAGCCACCUGGGAGUGCGCGCGGCGGCCUCCGUCAGUCGGCGGCGGCACCAUGCGCUGGUACGUGACCGCUGUGGCGCUCUGCGCCUUGUUACCGGCCGCGGCGCGCGCCUGUGAGUGCUGCGCCAGGAACGCCACGGCGGCAGAGUGCGGCGCCGACGCGCGGCUGGAGGCGCGCCGGGAUUGUGCCUGCUGCUCUGUGUGUGCCGUGCAGAAGGGCGGCGCGUGCGAUGACUCGGACCGGCCGUGCCAGGAGGGACUCGAGUGCAGCAGUCAGGGGGUGUGCACAGAUCCCGAAAGAAGAUAACAGCUUGUUUUCUUCACCGCCACCAGUCUACCUGCUCUCUGCACACUCGGCAGAGCGCGGCAGGGCACCCCACGGAGCUGCACUAGUCACAUCCGGGCCCCACGCCGGUCGACGGCCGAUGCGCCGCUGGGAGGCCUGCGGCGCGGACGACGGAUGCGGCAGUUGGUCAAGACACGGCAGCCUACUCGAGGUGCUUCUCGCCUGGAGGACGCAGGCGAAUCGCGUUAUCCGAGCUGUGCCUCGUCAUGGUGCGAUGAGCCUUAAUAGACUAAUGCAUAUUCUUCCUUUGGCUGUAAUUCAUUUGCUGCUGCCCGCUGGGCUAAGGAGUAACUCUGGGCGCCUACUUUGGGCAGACGCUCGUCCAGUGCCGCUCUUCGUUUGCCGCACAUAUCUUUAUUUAUUCUUUGUUACAAUUCCGUCUUUGGUCAUUUUUUUUUACCAUGGGGGCACUUGAAAGUUUUGUUUUUAAAUCUGUGGACAUUGAACCUGGAAUCGGUUUUAUGUCGGAUUUCGGUUUUGUUUUUGCACUGUGGAAAUAUCUCGUUCAAUAUUUUUAAGAUAGGGCGUGCUAAAACUUUUAGUCUCAUUACUCCUCUGUGCAUCUAAAUUCUAAAGUACUAUAAUGUGCAUCUCAAGUGUUUGGUGCUGUACUGUUAUUAUUUAUGGUUAAUCCAGUGCUGUACUGUUAUUAUUUAUGGUUAAUCCAGUUUUUAUUCGAUUGAAUCGUUGUGUGUAGUGCAUGACAUCCGCGUACCGCCUGUAGCAGUGUUAUAUAUUUUCAUUUAUGCUGGAAAAUAAUAACUUUCUUGUUCAUUG